UUAUUGAAAAUUUUUUUUGCUGCCCAAAAGUUGCAUUUGUGGAUUCAGAAUCAUUUUGCUAGGACAAAAUAUUUUACAGUCAUAUGGGGCCGGCAGUCGAAAUUUAGCCAUUUCCACUUCUGCCUCUGCAAAACUCAUCUCGUUGUAACAAAAGUAUUCUGCAUUUUUGUAUUCACCAGACUUUGACGCUCUGGGUCCAACAGCUGCAAAAAAUGUGAAAUAAAUUUACUAGACUCAGAGCUAGCAACGAACUUUCCAAACCUCAUGAUCCGAUUUAAUUACUCAGCUGGGGUGAAUAGAGACUUGAAAAAUAUUAUAAUCAUACUAGUCUUUGACAGAAUCCUGAAGAUUACAUAGAAUUACCCAACUAUGUAUUACAUACCAUAUACAGAAAUUUCGGAUCACCAUUUGUCAUCUAUAGACAAAUGAUGCAGUUUGGAUAAAUAACUUACGGGUAUCAGGCAUAUCGACACACUUUUUGCUAAGUCCAGGAACAUUUGUGAUUUGCGAUCCCGAUGUUGAUGAACCGCUGCUACUUGUCAGAAACUGCUGAUUGUACGGUCUCAUCAAAAGUGUAUAUCGGACAUUCUGAAGGU
rnacentral:misc_RNA from 1 species